rnacentral:rRNA from 1 species
AUACGUAGGUGGCACGCGUUGUCCGGAUUUACUGGGUGUAAAGGGCGUGUAGGCGGAGAUGCAAGUCAGGAGUGAAAUCUAGGGGCUCAACCCCUAAACUGCUUUUGAAACUGUCUCCCUUGAGUAUCGGUGAGGCAGGCGGAAUUCCUUUGUUAUCGGUGAAAUGCGUAGAUAUUAGGAUGAACACCAGUGGCGAAGGCGGCCUGAUGGACGACAACUGACGCUGAGGAGCGAAAGCGUGGGGAGCAAACAGGAGUAGAUACCCUGGUAGUCCACGCUGUAAACGAUGAAUACUAGGUGUGGGGGGACUGACCCCCUCCGUGCCGCAGUUAACACAAUAAGUAUUCCACCUGGGGAGUACGAUCGCAAGAUUGAAACUCAAAUGAAUUGACGGGG